rnacentral:lncRNA from 1 species
UUUCUUCCAUGUUAUUCAUACGUUUUCUUCCUUUUUUCUGUGUAUAGGUUCUUCCAUUUUUUCUUUGUUUUUCAUACUCUUUCAUUUGACAUGAUUUUCGUGUUUUUAUUUGACAUAAAGCUUAGGAUUUAGGCUUUAGGAUUUUCAUUUGGCAUGAUUUUCGUAUUUUUUGUGUUAUCUCUACUUGAAUAUCUGUUAUUG